rnacentral:rRNA from 1 species
AUUGAACGCUGGCGGCAUGCUUUACACAUGCAAGUCGAACGGCAGCGCGGGGCAACCUGGCGGCGCGUGGCGAACGGGCGAGUAAUAUAUCGGAACGUACCCAGAAGUGGGGGAUAACGUAGCGAAAGUUACGCUAAUACCGCAUACGAUCUACGGAUGAAAGUAGGGGACCGCAAGGCCUUAUGCUUUUGGAGCGGCCGAGACCUGAUUAGCUAGUUGGUGAGGUAAAGGCUCACCAAGGCGACGAUCAGUAGCUGGUCUGAGAGGACGACCAGCCACACUGGAACUGAGACACGGUCCAGGCUCCGACGGGAGGCAGCAGUGGGGAAUUUUGGAAAAUGGGCGCAAGCCUGAUCCAGCAAUGCCGCGUGAGUGAAGAAGGCCUUCGGGUGGUAAAGCUCUUUUGUCAGGGAAGAAACGGUAGAGGCUAAUAUCCUUUGCUAAGGACGGUACCGGAAGAAUAAGCACCGGCUAACUACGU